UUGAACACAAAUGACAACUUUGAACCUGCACCGAAAAUUUCCAAUAUGGAUAUGGAAAUAGAAGUAACAAAACAGCAAACAUCAACAGCUGAUAAAAAGAAUGCUGCAACCCAAACAUCUUUUGGACUUAGUGCAGAUAAUGGGCUAAGAAAGAAAAUAAGAGCGUUGAAACAAGUAGUAAGAAGAAGAAAUUGCAAAAUUUCUUCGAUGUCUCAACUAUUAAGUCGAAUGAAUAAAUCAGGCCUUUGUACAGAUGACUUAACGUCUGUUCUGCAGCAGAACUUUGGUAGUAUGCCACUUGAACUCGCUGUUAACCAAAAAAAUAAUGAGGGUCUUGAGCCAAGGCAAAGAAGAUAUACGGAAAUAAUGAAGCAUAAUUAUUGCAGUACAGAUGAUAGCCAUAGGUUUUUAAACUUAGUAAAUAGARGCGGUUUAAUUUGUGCUUCAGAAAUAGUAAAUACUAUUGUUUGUUAUUCAKAAAAGCAAUUUAAGAUAACAUUUCCAAACGGCAUAAAUUGCUACAAGAAGCCCAAACAAAUUAUUUUAAAUAAUGUAAUUCGACAUUUUUCGGAAAAAUUGCAUCUUUUUAGACCAACUCAUCCGAUUAUUGAAGAAUUUGGUGUUGAAGAUCUGCACGAAAUUCAAUUAAUUAAAGAAAUUGUUAACUAUUAUUUAACAUGUAGAUGCCAUUAUUAUGCUAGGCAAGAAA